rnacentral:tRNA from 1 species
ACUUAAAUAGUUUAAUUAGAAUAUCAAUUUGUGGUAUUGAAGGAACAUAAAUUUAGUGUUUUGGGUU